GGCCGGAUAGACAAGUGGAAAGUCGAGAGUCUGCAAAACUCUUAUGCGAGGGUUCGAUUCCCUCUCCGGCCUCAA
rnacentral:tRNA from 5 species